CGAGAAACACACUCUUACUUCUCCACACGCUUGAAUCUCGAUUGUAUGUAUAUAUAUAUAUAUACAUACCUAGGUAUGCGUAAAUAUUGCAAUGUUAUUUGUGAACGGUCAAAACAAAUGCGCGAUACAUAAUAAAUAGCCAAAAUCAUUUACGGUUAUUCAACGGCCAAUUGAAAUUUUAAAUACAUAAUAGAUUAUCCAAUAAACAGUUAUAUUUUGACUGCAUCAUCGCCUGUACGGCGAAAAAUUCGUCUUUUAUCCGCUAGUACCCCGCGGAGGCAUUUCGCUCUCGGCCGAAGAGUAUCUAAAAUGUAAUAACUCGCACAAUUUUCCCGCUGAAUCGUUCAGUUUCAAUUAAUUCGUGGGAUUUCGUACCGUCCGACCGAGGGCCGUUCGCGAAUUAAUGUUUUCAUUCGGUUUUCUAUUAAAUACUAGAUAUUAUUAUUAUUAUACCGUUAUUUUAAUUUGAAAUAUUCGCAUACGAUGACGUCGUUGAUAUUUCAUUAUUACGCCUUUGGUUCCAGGGGAAAAGGGCUCCAGUCAAUUUUCGGCAUUUUUAAAUUUUUUAUCGUUGCGUUUUGCGCGAUUUAUUAUUCGGUCUAAAUCGCUUAUGUGUACUCUAACGCGUGUUAUACUGAAAAUACUUUAUCUAAAAUCGUUUUAUAAUGUAUCGACUAUUAGAGCCAUAACUUUUGUUUCGCAAAAACAGACGUCGUACCCAUAUAGUCAUACGUAUGACUUCCGCCAUUUAAAACGCCAGCUGCAUUUAGGUUAACCCGUUUAAUAAUUAUUCCGUUGUGUCGUUCAGCAAUUUUCGAAAUCCAAUUUGCUUGCAUUGAAAACUGUGCACAAUUUAUACGAGCCCUUUUUUCCCCCGGGACCAAAGAUAUAUUGUUUUGUCAAACCAUAUAGUUCGCGUUGUAAAAAUACAGAGUUUUCAUAUUACAUUAUAUUAUGAUAUUAUAUUAGAUAUUGUUGAUUUUUUACUCGCAUAUACGAGAUAAUAAUAGAAUUAUAAGAACGUUUAAACAACGUUGUACAGUUAAAUAGUUUUAAUAUGAUCAGAGACAAAGUAUUGUUAUAUUAUAUAACGGACGAAAAAAGAAUUUAUUAAUUUAUUCGUUGAAUACAGCAUUCGUUAUAAAUACACAACACAAACAAUAUGGUAAAAAAAAAAAAAAAAAAAAAAUGAAAAAAAUAAAACAUUAGAUAGGUAAAUUUUAAAACAUUAUUACGAUUUCGUUGGAAUUAAAUUUUUAUUAAAACUAGGUAUUUUAUAUUGUUAUACAUAUGUGUGUGAAACAUAUGAUCUUCUAAUCAAUUUUAAAACUUUUUUCUUAAUUUUUGCAACGUAAUUAUAACAUACGUAAUAUUUUGUUAAACCGAAUUCUAAUCGGUUUAUACACUAGUGCUGAAAUAAUUAAUCAGGAACAAUCCCAACACCAGAUUACUAAUUCGAUGUGGUAUAAACCGGAUUGAUUUUAUUAUUCUGACCGUCUAAAACAUAUUUAGUUUUCGUAAGAAUUAUUUGAUAAAUGUUAUACAUUUUAUUUUAUUUUUUCCUCGUCUGAUUCAUCCGGAACGCCAAAUGAAAUCAUCAUAGUACGUAAUCCGGAUUAAAUGGCUAUUUCAAUCGAUGUUUUUGAAUCCGGAUUGCAGAUAUUGAUCAACUUCUGUUUAGUACUAUAGUAUAGUUUAUAUACAUUAUUAUAGACUGUUGUUACUUCUGUUAACAUUUAUAAAAAUCAGCGCCGUACUUAGAUACUUAGAAAGCGGUUACAAUAUUUAAAUAUAAGUCGUGAUUUCAUAGUAUAAAUUAUUUAAUAAGCAAUUAUUAAAACACGAUAACACAUCAGUCUCGGUAGUUAUUCUCUUCAGAACAGCGAAAAAGAAUCAAUCGAGAGAGCACACACGGAUGGAAAAUAAAAUAAUAUUACUCUUUUCGUUUUAAUCCGUGUCUCAUAGUUUAAUCGUAGGAUUUUGAUGUUAGUCUCGUAUAAUGAGUUAAAU